rnacentral:rRNA from 1 species
UACGAAGGGGGCUAGCGUUGCUCGGAAUUACUGGGCGUAAAGCGCACGUAGGCGGCUCUUUAAGUCGGGGGUGAAAUCCUGGAGCUCAACUCCAGAACUGCCUUCGAUACUGUAGAGCUUGAGUUCGGGAGAGGUGAGUGGAACUGCGAGUGUAGAGGUGAGAUUCGUAGAUAUUCGCAAGAACACCAGUGGCGAAGGCGGCUCACUGGCCCGAUACUGACGCUGAGGUGCGAAAGCGUGGGGAGCAAACAGG